UGACUAGAACCUUGGCUCAGC
rnacentral:miRNA from 1 species